UACGGAGGGGGCUAGCGUUGUUCGGAAUUACUGGGCGUAAAGGGCGCGUAGGCGGUUUACCAAGUCAGGCGUGAAAGGCCUGGGCUCAACCCGGGAACUGCGCUUGAUACUGAAGAUCUUGAGUCCGGGAGAGGUGAGUGGAACUGCGAGUGUAGAGGUGAAAUUCGUAGAUAUUCGCAAGAACACCAGUGGCGAAGGCGGCUCACUGGCCCGGUACUGACGCUGAGGCACGGAAAGCGUGGGGAGCAAACAGGG
rnacentral:rRNA from 1 species